GCUUGAGAGUAAAUCAGACUUAUAUAAAAACUGGACCGGUACAAGGAAAAUUAGCCCAGUCCCUGCAUGAGGAUGACAGGCGAAUUUGUGACUUGCUCCAUAUUUUU
ensembl:snRNA U6 U6 spliceosomal RNA